AUGUACCUAUCCCACGAUCACCCCCUGAUCAAAAAGCCAUCCCUGACAAAAUUCUUAUCAUCACAUCGGUACAUUCCGAAGGAGGAGCAGGACUUCUUGAGGUUGCACGGAUGCAACGUUGAGACUGCGAGGCAGAUGCAGCUGAUGUCAUGGUUCUACGGGAGCGCUAAAGACGUACCCUACACGACACAAGACAUUGCUAAUCAACGAGCUAAGUUCCGCUUAGAGCACCGCCACAAGGAGGUUGGGAGCACAAUUGCAUACUUCCAAGAGAUGAGGGCCAAAGAUUCAUAUUUCUACUAGAGAAUCAAACUUGAUGAUGAGGACAGGGUUGAGAACUUGUUCUGGAUAGAUGGCGCAUCACGCAGGGCAUAUGCAAAGUAUAAUGAUUGUUUGUCCUUUGACACAAUAUACAUGACAAACAUGUACAAGAUGUCUCCAUCCAUCCAGUUUGGGUGUGGCUUCGUUCGAAACGAACUAAAGGAAAACUUUGUGUGGCUGUUUAACACAUUCCUCCAUGCAAUGGGUGGUGUUGCCCCUAAAAACAUCAUCACAGACCAGGACUUUGCAAUGAGGAGUGCGAUCGACGAGGUCUUCUUGAACAUAAUACACAGAAAUUGUCGCUGGCAUAUAAUGAAGAAGACGCAGGAGAAACUUGGAAAACUUAUGGCUGAUGAUAAACCACUAAAAAAAGCGUUCAAAGAUUGUGUCGACAACAGCUUGACUGAGGGAGAGUUUGAAAACAAAUGGUGGGCAAUGAUGGAUGAAUAUGGCCACAUCGACAACGAACAUUUUCAAUGGCUGUGGGAAAAUAGGAAAUGUUGGGCCCCAGUGUACUACAUGAAGCAUUUCUUUCCAUUCUUGCAGACAACUAGGAGCGAGGGAUUCAAUGCUGUGCUCAAGAAGUAUGUGAACCCCAACAACUCAUUGAUUGAAUUCGCAACUCAAUACACUGCAAUCCAGGAGAAAGUAAUGGUGGUUGUGGCGAAAGAGAAAGUGGACACAAUUUACAAAGAGGCAGACAUGUAUUCAUUGAACCCAAUCGAGUUACAGAUGCGAGGGAUAUACACACAAAAUCUGUUCUCCAAGUUCCAGGUUGAGAUGAAGCUAAAGACUGCUUACGGAUGCGACACUCUGCAAGAUGGAACCUUCAGUAUGUGGUCGCUCCGAGGCAUACUACCAAAGUAUGGGGAUAGGGACUACCAUGUGCAGGCGAACAAGGAUGAAGGGGUAUACUCAUGCACUUGCUGCAAGUUUGAUCGCGAUGGGCUAUUGUGCGCACACAUACUACGAGUAAUGGAACAGAUUGGAGUCUACGAGAUACUGAGGAGGUAUAUCCUGGAUAGGUGGACAUGGGAUCUAGAAGAGGAUCUUGUUGAGCCUGAUUACCAAUAGCCAACAGUUAAGAAGGGUAUGACAGAGUACGGAAAAAAUAUCAUGAGAUAUACAUCUAUUCUGAAUGAUUUCAAGGAACAAGCAAAAGACGCUUGCACUACUGAUGAAGGGAUGGCAUUGGCAAGGAAACAUGUUAAUGCUUUCAGAGACGACAUGGAUGCACUAAAAAAGAGGCAGAUAAAGAAAGCAAGAAAGGAAAAGGAUGAGGGAAAAGAAGCACAAAUGUUUUCUUCACCACCAGGGACUAGUGCCACUGAAGGUGUCCCAGUAGCGCAUCAAGGAAGCAUUCCUGUCACGCAUGUGUCUGGCAAUAUUUUCCAGUUCCAGGGCUCACAUGCCGAGGGAUCCCAAUCAUCAAACACAAGAGUGAUACUAGACCCACCAAAGUCUACUACGAAAGGGCGUCCGAGAGAGAAAAGAUUCCAGCACCCAUUUGACAUUGCAAAACCAAAAAAAGAGAGGAAGUGUAGAGUCUGCGGGUCGACAGAUCACGAUAAACGCAAAUGUACCUCACCCAUCCCACACUGA
rnacentral:rRNA from 1 species